rnacentral:lncRNA from 10 species
CUCAACUGGAAACAGUUUUACUCCCCAGGGGUUAUUUAGCAAUGUCUGGAGACAUUUUUGUUUGUCACAACUGGGGAUGGGGGAGAUGUCUGUUGGCAUUUAGUGAGUAGGGGCCAGGGUGCCAUGAAAUAUCCUGCAAUGCACAAGGCAACCUCCACAACAAAGAAUGAUCUGGCCCAAGAUGAGCUGAGGUGGAGAAACCCUGUGCUAACCGUUUCCAAAAUAAGCGGGGGCCAGGGGUGGGAGAAAGGCUGCAGGGAGGGUAAGAAGUGAUGUCCCAGGGGUCGUCUAAACGCCACCAAAGCUGCCAUGAGGCUCAGCUGCCCACCUCGUGGAGCGGGAAGUUUCUGUGACCAGAGCCCCCAAACACAGCUUUCUUGGAGUGAACAGGACCUCAGAAAUGAGGAGAAUGACCCUGUGCUGUCUUCAAGCAGAGAAUUUCCUGCCCUGGCCUGAUGAAGCCAGAGAGAGGCCACCCACAUUCUGCCAGGAGGUGAAGCCAGCUCUAGGGAGGAGUUAUUGGGGUGGCUGACCUUGACCAAAGGCCCCCCAAAUCCACAAUGCAGGGGCCCAUCUCCCCUCAGGACCCCAAAAUGUGAUGCUCUAAAGAGCCAAAAUACUCAAACCCAUGAGUCUUUUAUCUGGAGAAAAUCUGCCUUCCUGUCCAUCCACCUGCAGGACGCAUGCACACAGGUGCACACACAGACCCACACACUGCCUCCCAGACCAGCCAGCCACUCCCUGCACUGCUUUUACUAAGGGAACAGACAUUCAAAGGUAUUACACUCCUGCCAACAUUCUGAGCCACGAAGUUUGUCCGAUGGGAAAAUGGAUCCCGGAAGCAAGUUUUGGUGGACCAAUCCCCUCUCCCUAAGAUGAGGGCUCUGUCUGGGAAAAGCACCAUCUUCUGGCCAAGGCAGGCAGAGGGCAGCAAAGGAAAUGUCCAGGGCUCUUAUUCAUUCAUUUGUUCUUUCGUUCAAGAAAUACCAAAAUAGAACUACUGUAAGAUCCAACAAUUCCACUACUGGGUAGACAUCCAAAAGAAAGGAAAUCAGUAUACUGAAGCUAUAGCUGCAUUCCUGCAUUAAUUGUAGUGCAUUCACAAUAGCCAAAAUAUGGAAUCAACCUAACUGUCCAUCAAUGGAUGGAUGGAUGGAUGGAUGGAUGGAUGGAUGGAUGAAU